GAUAUAGGGUUUAUUAUGAAUUCAUUUUUAAUUUCUUCCUUCAGAACGUGCUCAAAUACCUUUCCAAGAUUAGAAAGCAAGGAUAUAGGGCGGAAAUCGGACAAUUCCUCACUGUCGUUUUUCUUUUUUAUUGGGAUUAUUUUUGCCAACUUCCAAUCAAUGGGAAAAUAACAAUUGUUAAUACAAUGAUUUAUAAUACAGAGUCGGUGAAAUGGUAUCCAUCCGGAUUUGAAAAUACGUUAAAAUUGUCGUCAAAGGUGAAAAUGUGGUUUGGAAUUACCUCAAUACAAUUUAAGAUUCUUGAGUCAAGAUCAUCCACCGGCCGCUCUGAAGUUGUUCGACGAAAAUUUGAUGAAUAAAAGAUUCGGAAAUGAUCUGCAAUUUCCGCAGGAUUAGAUAUGACAUUAUCAUCGUGUCGUAUCUGUCGACACAGCGGAGAUUUCCUUCCCCCUGUAAAGUGCAUAUUCAAUUCCAACAGAUUCUUUAAUAAUUAUCUUCAGAAGUUGAAUUUGUUUAGAUAAUAUUUUGUAAUCACUGCUGAGUCUGUUUCCGGUGCGGUGAAAGAUAUUCUUCAGUUCCUUUUGCCAUUGGUACUUCAUUUUGAAGAGUUUUUUGGUUCUCUCCGAAAUUGGCGUUUUCUUGCAAUUAGUUAUUUGUAAUUUAUAAAUUAUAACAGUAAUAUUAUUAUCAUGUUAUCUUUGAAAAUUCUUUUGAAAAUAUUUUCAUUAUUACAUAAUAAUUAAUUUAUAUUAGAAUUCA